AAUGAGACACGGUCCGGACUCCUGCGGGAGGCAGCAGUAGGGAAUCUUCCGCAAUGGGCGAAAGCCUGACGGAGCAACGCCGCGUGAGUGAUGAAGGUCUUCGGAUCGUAAAACUCUGUUAUUAGGGAAGAACAUAUGUGUAAGUAACUGUGCACAUCUUGACGGUACCUAAUCAGAAAGCCACGGCUAACUACGUGCCAGCAGCCGCGGUAAUACGUAGGUGGCAAGCGUUAUCCGGAAUUAUUGGGCGUAAAGCGCGCGUAGGCGGUUUUUUAAGUCUGAUGUGAAAGCCCACGGCUCAACCGUGGAGGGUCAUUGGAAACUGGAAAACUUGAGUGCAGAAGAGGAAAGUGGAAUUCCAUGUGUAGCGGUGAAAUGCGCAGAGAUAUGGAGGAACACCAGUGGCGAAGGCGACUUUCUGGUCUGUAACUGACGCUGAUGUGCGAAAGCGUGGGGAUCAAACAGG
rnacentral:rRNA from 1 species